rnacentral:rRNA from 1 species
CCUACGGGUGGCAGCAGUGAGGAAUCUUGGUCAAUGGGCGGAAGCCUGAACCAGCCAAGUCGCGUGAGGGAAUAAGGCUCUACGGGUCGUAAACCUCUUUGUCGGGGAGCAAGGGCUGGGACAUGUCCCGGCCCGGAGAGUACCCGGAGAAAAAGCAUCGGCUAACUCCGUGCCCGCAGCCGCGGUAAUACGGAGGAUGCGAGCGUUAUCCGGAUUUAUUGGUGUUAAAGGGUGCGUAGGCGGGCAUUUAAGUCAGCGGUAACAGUUCGGGGCUCAACCACGUCCGGCCGUUGAAACUGGGGGCCUUGAGUGGGCGAGAAGAAGGCGGAAUGCGUGGUGUAGCGGUGAAAUGCAUAGAUAUCACGCAGAACCCCGAUUGCGAAGGCAGCCUUCCGGCGCCCUACUGACGCUGAGGCACGAAAGUGCGGGGAUCGAACAGGAUUAGAUACCCUUGUAGUC